GUGAGGAAUAUUGGUCAAUGGGCGCAAGCCUGAACCAGCCAUGCCGCGUGAAGGAUGAAGGCCUUAUGGGUUGUAAACUUCUUUUAUACGGGAAUAAACUUAGCUAUGUAUAGCUAACUGCAGGUACCGUACGAAUAAGCACCGGCUAACUCCGUGCCAGCAGCCGCGGUAAUACGGAGGGUGCAAGCGUUAUCCGGAUUUAUUGGGUUUAAAGGGUCCGCAGGCGGACUAAUAAGUCAGUGGUGAAAUCUCUCGGCUCAACCGAGAAACUGCCAUUGAUACUGUUAGUCUAGAGUGUAGUUGGCGUAGGCGGAAUGUAUCAUGUAGCGGUGAAAUGCUUAGAUAUGAUACAGAACACCGAUCGCGAAGGCAGCUUACGAAACUACAUACUGACGCUCAGGGACGAAACGCGUGGGGAGCGAACAGGAUUACGAUCC
rnacentral:rRNA from 1 species